UACGAAGGGGGCUAGCGUUGCUCGGAAUCACUGGGCGUAAAGGGUGCGUAGGCGGGGUUUUAAGUCAGGGGUGAAAUCCUGGAGCUCAACUCCAGAACUGCCUUUGAUACUGAAGAUCUUGAGUCCGGGAGAGGUGAGUGGAACUGCGAGUGUAGAGGUGAAAUUCGUAGAUAUUCGCAAGAACACCAGUGGCGAAGGCGGCUCACUGGCCCGGUACUGACGCUGAGGCACGAAAGCGUGGGGAGCAAAUAGG
rnacentral:rRNA from 1 species